GUUACCGAUCCGAUGGCCUAGUGGUUAGAGCGUCCGCCUAGGAUGUGGGUGGUCGCGGGUUUGAACUCCGGCCAAGUAAUA